GUAACACCUUGUGCUGCCUUUCAUUGGUAAUGACUUGGCUGAACUGCUGAAGAGUUUGCUGAGGCGAUUCAUCAAACGGGAACUUCUCAAUGAUGCCACACCUCAGCAUUUGGUCCGGCUUGAUGUUAGUGACACGCAGUCCAGGGUUCAUCUAAGAGCUGUUGAUAUUGGCAUUGGAGCUGAGGCUGCAAUAAAGGAACGUCAGCAGCAGAGUAGAUCCACCGAGGAGCUUUCCGACCUCCAGUUCAGAAAGGAAUGCAUGGAGGGUCUGUCCAAAAUUGUGAAGAAGAUUCAAGAGAAGAGCCCUUUGAAUUUCCCAACUGUAAGACAAAUGACUUGUCUUAACCCGGCCAUGAUGUAUACAGAUCCUGAAUUGUGUCAAGGCCAGAUGAAGUGUCUAGUCAAAAGGUUUCUACAAGACAAGCAGUUGGACGGGGUUGCUACAGGUGAUCUGAUCAUUCAACAAUUUGCACAGUUCCUGUCCCUGGAGGUGAGGAAUGAGAAGUUCCUGUCCUUCAAGCCCCUGGAGAAGAGGCUGGAUGUGUUUCUCCAUCCUUACAUAAGUCAGCCCUACCCACAGCUCGGGGCUUUUCGUCAGAAACCUUCUGCUCCUCUCCCAUGGGCAGGCUACGGUGGAGAGGGGCUUUUCUGUUAACAAACAAGUCGAAUAGGAAUAGAAUAGAGAAUAGGCCUACACACCCGUGUGUGCUACAAUGCUGUUGCG
rnacentral:lncRNA from 1 species